UACGUAGGGUGCGAGCGUUAAUCGGAAUUACUGGGCGUAAAGCGUGCGCAGGCGGUGAGCUGUGUCCGAUGUGAAAGCCCCGGGCUUAACCUGGGAAUGGCAUUGGAAACUGGCUCGCUGGAGUGUGGCAGAGGGGGUGGAAUUCCGCGUGUAGCAGUGAAAUGCGUAGAUAUCUGGAGGAACACCGGUGGCGAAGGCGGCAUCCUGGACCGACACUGACGCUGAGGAGCGAAAGCCAGGGAGCAAAGCGGG
rnacentral:rRNA from 1 species